rnacentral:tRNA from 1 species
GGCGGUCUGGGGUGGGUCGGUGCCGGUCUGCUGAACCGGCACCUAGAGCCGGGCCGGCGUCCUGCCCGCCGGCCCGGCUCCA